UGCUGCGCUUGGGUCCGUGUCUUAAGCCCCAAUAUGCCCCUAACCACAAACACAGGUGUCUAAAAUAGAUGUCCGCAUUUUUUUUCCUUUUUUUCAAGUGGAGAACCCGCCACGCCGCCUUCAUGCCUUCGCUGGAAUUUCCACCUUUUGGAUUUCCCUCGUAUUCUCUUCUAUUAUUUAAAAAUAGGCGCCUUAGUAAAAAACCUAACUUUUUGCGCUAAGAAAUCUGAAGGCUUUGGAGUCUGCCGUUUAGCGCUCUCAAACCGUCACCCGAAAACCCAAAUCUCCGUUUCCAUAACCCCCCCGAUCCCCCAAUCCAUCGCCUCCACCAUCCUCUCCUCCUCCUCUCAAUCUCAUCCACAUCUUCUAGCACGAGGGCAUGCUUGCUCAUGACGCCGGCACCGGCAUCUUCGACACUGGCAUCGAUCCUGGUUUCCUCGAGGUCUUGGAGAAGCACUAAGAGAAUGUGGACCGGGUGAGGAGCAUGGACUCCAUCCUCUGCAAAGGCCCCAUUGCCCCUUUCGUCUCGUGGCACUCAGGCCGUUCCGCCGACAUCUCCGAGCCCCUCUCUUUAACUCUCCAGUUCCUGGGGUCCAUCACAUACUCAGAGUGGCUCCAUUGAUGAAGUUGGUGAAGGCAAUACCUUUGCCCAAUGGAACAGGGGAUGAAGGAUAUGCAUAUGCAAUGAAAGAAUUGGUUGCUCUAGCUGUUCAAGUAUUCGAACCCAUGCUAAUUGUUUUGGUUGUGAAGAUUUAAGUUUGAUUUCGUAUAUCUAUGUCACUUGAUAUUUUUAUGCACAUUUUUGAAGUGUUUACAUUCACUUUUGCAGUCAUGCCAAAAUCAGAAUUUGUGCUAAAAGCUUCAGUCAUAAUGCUGAGUUACCGUCAAAAAGGUCUUUGAAGAUUGAAGUGAAGAUGAUGGGAUUUUAUUUAGAAAGAGAUCCCAUAUCAAUGAGUUGUCUAUAUGUCAAAGCACAGGAGGUCUCCCUUCCAUAGUGAGGACAUAGCGGUGCUUCAUAACAGAAGACCUCUUUGUUACGCUUCCUCUCUCAAUCUGCUGAUCGAGCAAACUCUUCGAAGCUGUUCUAACUGUUAGCUGAAAUCGCCUGUUGCUUUGCUCCAUUUCUUCGCCUAAAGCUACAAAGAAGGAUUUUGUUCUAAAGUUUAAGGUUUUAUAUCUGGCUAUAUGACAUUAACCAUUUAUAAUGCUAAUGCAUCCGAUUACCUUUCUUUUGUAUAUGUAGUAUAUGCGGUAGACUGAUUGCUGUUUCUUGUCUUCUUGAGGUCAUCAAGUUACAUAAGCUUUCACUAUUGUAAGCAUGGACCCUUUUGCAUUUCAGUAUGAAGACUUGUCUGUCCUUUCACAAAUUGUUUGUUCUGUUAUUGUAUUUAAGUGUCAAUUCUCUGUGUCAAUAUGGAUAUCUGAAUAUGCUUUUUUUAAUUUGUUCAUCUAAAUAGAGGUUCCCUUUGAUCUUUCCUUAUCUUACUGUUGACUUCUCUGUUGCUUUAGUUUGAUCCAAAUGGAAUGAAAUGCCAGACAAUGGAAGAUUACAGGAAGAUUGGGCAAAUUGUAUGCAGAUUGGCUUGUACAUAUACCAAUGGAUGCAUCCUAAUUGUUCAGGAAGGAGGGUAUCAUGUAACAUAAUCAGCUUACUGUCUCCAUCCAACUUUAGAGGUGUUCUUAAACUUCCAGCUCCUCUACUAUCAGGCCCUAUUGCUUAUUACCCUGAGGACAAGGCGUACACUGUCAAAGUUGUUGAUGCCAUAAAAUAUUGGAGAGUUUCAAUGCCAUUCUUGAAGGAGCUUUAGAGAGCUAUAGAGGCGAAGGAAUGUUUGACUGGGCCCCGCAUGUGCGUGCAGAUUAGAAAAGACUGGUUGAGCGCAGAAGACCGCACAUUGUUGGGCUCGCCCUUCGACGGACCGGUGGCAUAGAAAAUUUUCUCAAUUAUCGUCCAUAAGUCACAGGAGCUGCAUUGAUGAGCAAGCGGGUGGCACUUCCAUUUUUUUUAUUUUUGGUUGGCGUAAAGGGUAUCCCUGUUCAUCCUAUUGAUAAUGAUAUGGUGCCAAACUAA